GAUGCUCGAACCAGAUCCUAAGAAGAGGUUGACGGCUCAGCAAGUUCUUGAUCAUACAUGGCUGCAGAAUGCAAGUAAAGCUCCCAAUGUUAAUCUAGGUGAAACCGUACGAGCAAGACUUCAGCAAUUCUCUGGGAUGAACAAACUUAAAAAGAAAGCUCUACGGGUUGUGGCUGAAUACCUCUCUGUCGAGGAAGUUGCAGACAUAAAGAAAAUGUUUGACA